rnacentral:RNase_P_RNA from 1 species
GGGGGCGACCCUAGGGAAAGUGCCACAGAAAGCAAACCGCCCGCAUUCAUGUGGGUAAGGGUGAAAGGGUGCGGUAAGAGCGCACCGCUCGUUCGGUAACGCGCGAGGCAUGGUAAACCCCACCGGGGCCAGGUCGUCCGGACUUAGCGUCGCUUCUCCGUCCUCUACGGAAAUCACCACACCAUCGCCGUUCUUCA